UUAAUUUUCACCUCUUGCGCGCCUUACAACGUGUCUUUAUACAACGUGCACGAGCAGAAUUUUGUAUUCUGCCUAAACGACGAUGCAGCCGCCGUGGCCGGGUGAGAAUUCUUCAUCCCGCGAACUCCUACUUAGUGGAAGACCAUCGUAGCAACUGAGCCACUUGAGAGAGCGCGGAAACUUGGAUCACGUGACCCCGCUCCGCCGCCGCUGCGAAAGCUUGCGCGGCUUGAACGUCGCACAGAUUUUAGGAAUAAAUAAGGAGGUGUUGGCAGCAAAAUAUGGUGUGAAAUAAAGAGGGAAGAUUGCCGAAUAAAUUUUUGACACGCAGUUGUUACGGCGAAGAUAAACAACGUCUAAGGGCUGCAGAGGACUCAUUGAGCAUCACUGUAGAAAGGUCACGUCCCGGCAGUUGAUGUCGCGUGCGGAAGGCCGUUGACCAGUCAGAAGAGGAAGAACGAUCCACAACGCGCGUCUUCAUCUUGUGUUAUUAGUGUCGUAAUAAAUUCGACCGUCGGGCAGCGUUGGUGCGUCAGGCAUUUCCCCACUGUACCAACUUUCGAUAUGUCAGAAGGCGGUCAUGAUAGUGUCUGACCUUGUAAGUAAUCCGGCAGCGACCUAUGAU